GCAUAAUGAGGUGACGAUAGACGAUGAUAACUUAGGCCAACAUAGUGGGGAUUAGGAUUAAGUGUGGACCGUACACUUUUGCGGAGUGCAAUUGGUUGACUAAGAGGAGACAAGUCCGGAGUAGGUGCAGAAUUUGAUGCAGGAGGUGAAUCACCUGGGCGUGAUGCUGGAUGUGGACGACGAUGAUAAGUCAAGAGUGGCGGAGCUGCAGAAGGUUGAACUGGAUUAUGUGAAGCAAUUGGACCUGGAGCUAUAGAUGGUGGAAGGAGAGCUAUAAGUGGUGGAUCCGGAGAUGUAAAGGAAGAUGGAUGGGAGAUAGUGACUGAAUCUCCAAAAGAAGGGACCGGUAGUACCUCAAAAAUAUCUAAGUGAUUACCUGGACCGGUGAGGUAUGAUU
rnacentral:lncRNA from 1 species